rnacentral:tRNA from 1 species
GCUCCCAUCGUCUAUCGGCUAGGACGUCGCCUUCUCAAGGCGAAGAGGUUGGUUCGAUUCCAGCUGGGAGCGCCA